CAGUCGCCACGGUAAUACGAGGGGGGCAAGCGUUGUUCGGAAUUAUUGGGCGUAAAGGGUGCGUAGGCGGUCUGAUAAGUCUUAUGUGAAAUCUAUGGGCUCAACCCAUAGUCUGCAUAGGAAACUGUCGGGCUUGAGAGUGGGAGAGGUGAGUGGAAUUUCCGGUGUAGCGGUGAAAUGCGUAGAUAUCGGAAGGAACACCUGUGGCGAAAGCGGCUCACUGGACCAUUUCUGACGCUGAUGCACGAAAGCUAGGGGAGCAAACAGGAUUAGAUACCCCCGUAGUCCCUGUCUCUUAUAC
rnacentral:rRNA from 1 species